rnacentral:rRNA from 1 species
AAGGAUCAUUAUCGAAUUUUGAAGGCGAAAGGUCUGUGCUGGUGCGGAAACGCGCAUGUGCACGGCUUUUCGUGAUCAAAUCCAAUCAACCCCCUGUGCACCUAAAGAGUCGGAGGUCAGUAGCCUCUGUAAUCGAACUGCUUGUAGUAUGUCCGCAGACAGAAGAGAGCUCUUCGGGGAGGGAGGUGAAAGCUUUUGGCUAAUUUAUAGACACCUAUUGUUUGUUAUGUGAAUGUAAUGCUCCUUGUGGGCGAUAAUGAAAUACAACUUUCAACAACGGAUCUCUUGGCUCUCGCAUCGAUGAAGAACGCAGCGAAAUGCGAUAAGUAAUGUGAAUUGCAGAAUUCAGUGAAUCAUCGAAUCUUUGAACGCACCUUGCGCCCCUUGGUAUUCCGAGGGGCAUGCCUGUUUGAGUGUCAUGUUAAUCUCAAAUCACUUGUCUAUUCUUGACCGAAUGGAGUAGUGGUUUGGACUUGGAGGUCUUUGCUGGCCCGGGCGGUUUGAUUGCCCUUGGUUUGUCGGCUCCUCUCAAAUGCAUUAGCUGGRCUUUGGUUCGCGUUUACGGUGUAAUAAUAUUCGUUUCACUAAGACGCUUGCCUAGACGGUCUGCUUCUAAUCGUCCUUAAGUUGGACAAGGAUCCGUGAGUGGCCUUUCUUGACACCUUUGACCUCAAAUCAGGUAGG